rnacentral:misc_RNA from 1 species
GAUGAAGAACGUAGCGAAAUGCGAUACGUAAUGUGAAUUGCAGAAUUCAGUGAAUCAUCGAGUCUUUGAACGCACAUUGCGCCCCCUGGUAUUCCGGGGGGCAUGCCUGUCCGAGCGUCAUUGCUGCCCUCAAGCACGGCUUGUGUGUUGGGCCUCCGUCCUCCUCCCGGGGGACGGGCCCGAAAGGCUGCGGCGGCACCGCGUCCGGUCCUCGAGCGUAUGGGGCUUCGUCACCCGCUCUUGUAGGCCCGGCCGGCGCUUGCCGACACAUCAAUCUUUUUUCCAGGUUGACCUCGGAUCAGGUAGGGAUACCCGCUGAACUUAAGCAUAUCAAUAAGCGGAGGA